AGUGAACGCUGGCGAUAGGCCUAACACAUGCAAGUCGAACGGCAGCACAGUAAGAGCUUGCUCUUACGGGUGGCGAGUGGCGGACGGGUGAGGAAUACAUCGGAAUCUACUUUUUCGUGGGGGAUAACGUAGGGAAACUUACGCUAAUACCGCAUACGACCUACGGGUGAAAGCAGGGGAUCUUCGGACCUUGCGCGAUUGAAUGAGCCGAUGUCGGAUUAGCUAGUUGGCGGGGUAAAGGCCCACCAAGGCGACGAUCCGUAGCUGGUCUGAGAGGAUGAUCAGCCACACUGGAACUGAGACACGGUCCAGACUCCUACGGGAGGCAGCAGUGGGGAAUAUUGGACAAUGGGCGCAAGCCUGAUCCAGCCAUACCGCGUGGGUGAAGAAGGCCUUCGGGUUGUAAAGCCCUUUUGUUGGGAAAGAAAAGCAGCAGGUUAAUACCCCGCUGUUCUGACGGUACCCAAAGAGUAAGCACCGGCUAACUUCGUG
rnacentral:rRNA from 1 species